rnacentral:rRNA from 2 species
AGUAACGGCGAGUGAACAGGGAAAAGCCCAAAUUUGUAAUCUGGCACUUUUUACAAGUGUCCGAGUUGUAAUUUGUAGAGCUGUUAUCCGUACUGGACCAUGUACAAGUCUGUUGAAAAGCAGCAUCAUUGAAGGUGAAAAUCCUGUAGAUGAUAUGGACUACCAGUAUAUUUGUGAUACGGUUUCUAAGAGUCGAGUUGUUUGGGAAUGCAGCUCAAAGUGGGUGGUAAAUUCCAUCUAAGGCUAAAUAUAAGUGAGAGACCGAUAGCAAACAAGUACCGUGAGGGAAAGAUGAAAAGAACUUUGAAAAUAGAGUUAACAGUACGUGAAAUUGCUGAAAGGGAAACGUUUGAAGUUAGUUUUGUAUUCGUUGGAUCAGCUUCGCAAGGAGUGUAUUCUGAUGAUAAGCAAGUCAACAUCAGUCUAUGAGUGUUGGAUAAGGGUUUUGAGAAUGUAGCAAUUUAAUUGUGUUAUAGCUUGAGACUUGGAUACAAUGCUUUGGAUUGAGGAACGCGUAGUAAGGUUUGAGCGGAUUCGAAAGGAUCUCCUUACUAUGGAUGUUGGGUAAAA